UACAGAGGUCUCAAGCGUUUGUUCGGAUUCAUUGGGCGUAAAGGGCGCGUAGGCUGCGGGGCAAGUCGGGUGUGAAAUCUCAGAGCUCAACUCUGAAACUGCACUCGAUACUGCUUUGCUUGAGGACCGGAGAGGAGAUUGGAAUUCACGGUGUAGCAGUGAAAUGCGUAGAUAUCGUGAGGAAGACCAGUGGCGAAGGCGGAUCUCUGGACAGUUCCGUGACGCUGAGGCGCGAAGGCCAGGGGAGCAAACGGG
rnacentral:rRNA from 1 species